AAUGAACGUUGGCGGCGUGGAUUAGGCAUGCAAGUCGAGCGGGUAUAGCAAUAUAUCAGCGGCGAAAGGGAGAGUAACGCGUAGCUACGUACCCCAGAGACCGGAAUAGCCAGCCGAAAGGCUGGGUAAUGCCGGAUGAUGUCCCUGGACUAAAGGGUGUGAUUCCGCUUUGGGAGCGGGCUGCGUUGUACUAGCUUGUUGGUGGGGUAAUGGCCUACCAAGGCGAUGAUGCAUACCGGGCGUGAGAGCGUGGCCCGGCUCACUGGGACUGAGACACUGCCCAGACACCUACGGGUGGCUGCAGUCGAGAAUCUUCGGCAAUGAGCGCAAGCUUGACCGAGCGACGCCGCGUGCGGGAUGAAGGCCUUCGGGUUGUAAACCGCUUUCGGUAGGGAGGAAAUCGCUAGGGGUUCUCCCCUAGUGUUGACCUAUCUUCGGAAGAAGGACGGGCUAAGUUCGUGCCAGCCGCCGCAGUAACAC
rnacentral:rRNA from 1 species